UACGUAGGGGGCUAGCGUUGUCCGGAUUUAUUGGGCGUAAAGAGCGUGUAGGCGGCCAGGUAGGUCUGCUGUGAAAACUCGAGGCUCAACCUCGAGACGUCGGCGGAAACCAUCUGGCUAGAGUCCGGAAGAGGAGAGUGGAAUUCCUGGUGUAGCGGUGAAAUGCGUAGAUAUCAGGAGGAACACCGGUGGCGAAGGCGGCUACCUGGACAGAAACUGACGCUGAGGCGCGAAAGCUAGGGGAGCAAACAGG
rnacentral:rRNA from 1 species